UAGGUGUUUAUGAUGCAUUGCAGAAGAAAUACCUAAGGACACUGUUGUUCUGUGUUUGUAAAGGAGUGGAAGGUUCAAUGAUUGAGGAAUAUGCAUUUACUCUAAUUCUGAAAGCCAAGAGGUUUCAAUGAAGAUCAAUUGCACUGUGAUUGAUGAUGCCACUGGUGCUAGAAAG